rnacentral:rRNA from 1 species
UGCGAGUGAAGCGGGAAAAGCUCAAAUUUAAAAUCUGGCAGUCUUUGGCUGUCCGAGUUGUAGUCUGGAGAAGCGUUUUCCGCGCUGGACCGUGUAUAAGUCUCUUGGAAUAGAGCGUCAUAGAGGGUGAGAAUCCCGUCUUUGACACGGACUACCAGUGCUUUGUGAUGCGCUCUCAAAGAGUCGAGUUGUUUGGGAAUGCAGCUCAAAAUGGGUGGUAAAUUCCAUCUAAAGCUAAAUAUUGGCGAGAGACCGAUAGCGAACAAGUACCGUGAGGGAAAGAUGAAAAGCACUUUGGAAAGAGAGUUAAACAGUACGUGAAAUUGCUGAAAGGGAAACGCUUGAAGUCAGUCGCGUUGUUCAGAACUCAACCUGGCUUUUGCUUGGUGUAUUUUCUGUGCAACGGGCCAGCAUCAAUUUUGAUCAUUGGAAAAAGGCUGGAGGAAUGUGGCAUCUUCGGGUGUGUUAUAGCCUCUGGUCGCAUACAAUGGUUGGGAUUGAGGAUCUCAGCAUGCCUUUAUGGUCGGGGUUCGCCCACGUUCAUGCUUAGGAUGCUGGCGUAAUGGCUUUAAACGACCCGUCUUGAAACACGGACCAAGGAGUCUAACAUGCCUGCGAGUGUUUGGGUGGAAAACCCGAGCGCGUAAUGAAAGUGAAAGUUGGGAUCCCUGUCGUGGGGAGCACCGACGCCCGGACCAGACCUUUUGUGACGGAUCCGCGGUAGAGCAUGUAUGUUGGGACCCGAAAGAUGGUGAACUAUGCCUGAAUAGGGUGAAGCCAGAGGAAACUCUGGUGGAGGCUCGUAGCGAUUCUGACGUGCAAAUCGAUCGUCAAAUUUGGGUAUAGGGGCGAAAGACUAAUCGAACCAUCUAGUAGCUGGUUCCUGCCGAG